rnacentral:rRNA from 1 species
GUAGGGAGCGAGCGUUGUCCGGAAUUACUGGGUGUAAAGGGAGCGUAGGCGGGGAUGCAAGUUGGAUGUUUAAACUAUCGGCUCAACCGGUAAUUGCAACCAAAACUGCAACUCUUGAGUGAAGUAGAGGCAGGCGGAAUUCCUAGUGUAGCGGUGAAAUGCGUAGAUAUUAGGAGGAACACCAGUGGCGAAGGCGGCCUGCUGGGCUUUAACUGACGCUGAGGCUCGAAAGCGUGGGGAGCAAA